CAAUAGCGUAUAUUUAAGUUGCUGCAGUUAAAAAGCUCGUAGUUGGAUUUCGGAUGGGAUUUGCCGGUCCGUCGUUACGAUGUGCACUGGCCAGUCCUAUCUUGUUGUCGGGGACUAGCUCCUUGGAUUCACUUCCUGGGACUAGGAGCUGACGAGGUUACUUUGAGUAAAUUAGAGUGUUCAAAGCAAGCCUACGCUCUGAAUACAUUAGCAUGGAAUAACACGAUAGGACUCUGGCUUAUCUUGUUGGUCUGUGAGACCAGAGUAAUGAUUAAGAGGGACAGUCGGGGACAUUCGUAUUUCAUUGUCAGAGGUGAAAUUCUUGGAUUUAUGAAAGACGAACUUCUGCGAAAGCAUUUGUCAAGGAUGUUUUCAUUAA
rnacentral:rRNA from 1 species